rnacentral:lncRNA from 1 species
AAAAAAACUUCCGGGAACAUUUUUUAAUCGCUAACUUCUUGAUCUUGUUGUUGACCUUUCUUGUACGGUUUUAGAUUAAAAACAAAUCGUGAUGUUCAGCGGGGAUAUGUCGGAUUAAACUUAAAAGAUCUUCUUUUUUCUUAAACGGAAUUUUAGGGCGUUCCAUAUAAGCUGGAGCAAUAUUGUCAACUUCAUUCAUUCGAACGUUAAUUUGUUUAAAUGAAUCGGCACCAAAGGUUUCCUUGUAGAAAAUAAUAUUUGGGCUUUCUUUGGUCACUCGCAGUACCUUAAUAUUGCUCCAGAGUAUUUUCUCUCCAAUUGAAUUUUUAGAAAAACUUGCAAAAUUCAUGCUAAACUUUUUCCAAUCUAAAAUAUCAAAAAAUUGAAGAUUAUUAACCAUAUAAGGCUUUCUUGUUUUUUAUCUAAUUUUAUGAUCAUUGCCAUUUCCUGUGGAGUUAAAAUCCAAAAA